rnacentral:pre_miRNA from 1 species
AAAGUACUCCCUCCGUCCCAAAAUUCUUGUCUUAGAUUUGUCUAGAUAUGGAUGUAUCAAGUCACAUUUUAGUAUUAGAUACAUCCGUAUCUAGACAAAUCUAAGACAAGAAAUUUGGGACAGAGGGAGUA